GCCGGUGUAGCUCAGUUGGUCAGAGCACGUGAUUUGUAAUCUCGGGGUCGUGGGUUCGAAUCCCUCCAUCGGCU
rnacentral:tRNA from 6 species